rnacentral:rRNA from 1 species
AUACGUAGGUGACAAGCGUUAUCCGGAUUUACUGGGCGUAAAGGGCGUGUAGGCGGUCUUGCAAGUCAGAAGUGAAAUUCCUGAGCUCAACUCGGGCGCUGCUUCUGAAACUGCAGGACUUGAGUGCUGGAGGGGAUAGCGGAAUUCCUAGUGGAGCGGUAAAAUGCGCAGAUAUUAGGAAUAACACCGGUGGCGAAGGCGGCUAUCUGGACAGUAACUGACGUUGAGGCUCGAAAGCGUGGGGAGCAACCAGGAUUAGAUCCCCUGGUAGUCCACGCCGUAAACGAUGAAUACUAGGUGUAGGGGGUAUCGACUCCCUCUGUGCCGCAGUUAACACAAUAAGUAUUCCGCCUGGGGAGUACGGCCGCAAGGUUGAAACUCAAAUGAAUUGACGGGG